CCUACGGGUGGCAGCAGUGAGGAAUAUUGGACAAUGGGCUUACGCCUGAACCAGCCAAGCCGCGUGAGGGAAGACUGCCCUAUGGGUUGUAAACCUCUUCUGCCAGGGAGCAACGCCGGCUACGUGUAGCCGGACUGAGAGUACCUGAAGAAAAAGCAUCGGCUAACUCCGUGCCAGCAGCCGCGGUAAUACGGAGGAUGCGAGCGUUAUCCGGAUUUAUUGGGUUUAAAGGGUGCGUAGGCGGAAUGCCAAGUCAGCGGUAAAAUCGCGGGGCUCAACCUCGGUCCGCCGUUGAAACUGGGGUGCUUGAGGGGGCGAGGAGUAUGCGGGAUGCGUGGGGUAGCGGGGAAAUG
rnacentral:rRNA from 1 species